rnacentral:rRNA from 2 species
UACGUAGGGGGCGAGCGUUGUCCGGAAUCACUGGGCGUAAAGGGUGCGUAGGCGGCUUGGCAAGUCCUGUGUGAAAGGUCGCGGCUCAACCGCGGUGGGUCAUGGGAAACUGCCAAGCUCGAGUGCCGGAGAGGAUAGCGGAAUUCCCGGUGUAGCGGUGAAAUGCGUAGAGAUCGGGAGGAACACCAGUGGCGAAGGCGGCUAUCUGGAAGGUCACUGACGCUGAGGCACGACAGCUGGGGGAGCAAACAGG